rnacentral:rRNA from 1 species
CGCUGGCGGCGUGCCUAAUACAUGCAAGUCGAGCGGAAUGAUGAAGAAGCUUGCUUCUUCUGAUUUUAGCGGCGGACGGGUGAGUAACACGUGGGCAACCUACCUUGUAGAUUGGGAUAACUCCGGGAAACCGGGGCUAAUACCGAAUAAUCCAUUUUGCUUCAUGGCGAGAUGUUGAAAGACGGUUUCGGCUGUCACUACAAGAUGGGCCCGCGGCGCAUUAGCUAGUUGGUAGGGUAAUGGCCUACCAAGGCGACGAUGCGUAGCCGACCUGAGAGGGUGAUCGGCCACACUGGGACUGAGACACGGCCCAGACUCCUACGGGAGGCAGCAGUAGGGAAUCUUCCACAAUGGACGAAAGUCUGAUGGAGCAACGCCGCGUGAGUGAAGAAGGUUUUCGGAUCGUAAAACUCUGUUGUAAGGGAAGAACACGUACGAGAGUAACUGCUCGUACCUUGACGGUACCUUAUUAGAAAGCCACGGCUAACUACGUG